rnacentral:rRNA from 1 species
GUCGAGAGGCUUUGUCAAUGGGGGAAACCCUGAACAAGCGACGCCGCGUGGGGGAUGAAGGCUCUUGGGUUGUAAACCCCUUUCAAUCGGGACGAAACCCUGGCGGGCAAAUAGGCCGCCAGACUGACGGUACCGAUAGAAGAAGCUCCGGCUAACUCCGUGCCAGCAGCCGCGGUAAUACGGGGGGAGCGAGCGUUGUUCGGAAUCACUGGGCGUAAAGGGCGUGUAGGCGGUUCGGUAAGUGAGGUGUGAAAGCCCCCGGCUCACCCGGGGAGGGUCAUCUCAUACUGCUGGACUUGAGUGCGGAAGAGGAUGGGGGAAUUCCUGGUGUAGCGGUGAAAUGCGUAGAUAUCAGGAGGAACACCGGUGGCGAAGGCGCCCAUCUGGUCCGUUACUGACGCUGAGGCGCGAAAGCUAGGGGAGCAAACGGG